GUAGCGAAAGCGAGUUUUAACUGAGCGUUCAGUUACUUGACGUAGACCCGAAACCGGGCGACCUACCCAUGAGCAGGAUGAAGCGAAAGUAAAAUUUCGUGGAGGUCCGAACCCACGAGCGUUGAAAAGCUCGGGGAUGACUUGUGGGUAGCGGUGAAAUUCCAAUCGAGCCCGGAGAUAGCUGGUUCUCCCCGAAAUAGCUUUAGGGCUAGCCUCAAGGUGAGAGAUACGGAGGUAGAGCACUGAAUGUCCUAGGGGGUAUUGCACCUACCGAAGACUAUCAAACUCCGAAUGCCGUCAUCUUAUACUUGGGAGUCAGACUGUGGGUGAUAAGAUUCAUAGUCGAAAGGGCAACAGCCCAGAUCGUCAGCUAAGGUCCCUAAAUGUAAGUUAAGUGGUAAAGGAUGUGGGAUUGCACAGACAACCAGGAUGUUGGCUUAGAAGCAGCCACUCAUUCAAAGAGUGCGUAAUAGCUCACUGGUCGAGUGAUCCUGCGCCGAAGAUUUCCGGGGCUAAAACUUACUACCGAAGCUACGGCAUCAGUAAUGAUGGGUAGGGGAGCUUCCCAUACGGGUUGAAGCAUGACCGUAAGGACAUGUGGACAGUAUGGGAGUGAGAAUGUUGGCAUGAGUAGCGAGAUGUGGGUGAGAAUCCCACAGGCCGUAAACCCAAGGUUUCCAGGGGAAGGUUCGUCCGCCCUGGGUUAGUCGGGACCUAAGCUGAGGCCGAAAGGCGUAGGUGAUGGACAACAGGUUGAUAUUCCUGUACUACCGAUAACCGUUUGAGAGAAGGGAUGACACAGUAGGAUAAGCUAAGCACACUGUUGGUUAUGUGUGCCCAAGCAUUGAGGCAGUCAAAGUAGGCAAAUCCGCUUUGAUAAUGCUGGGAUGUGAUGGGGAGCGAAAUUUAGUAGCGAAGUAGCUGAUUUCACACUGUCAAGAAAAGUCUCUAUCGAGGUUAAAGGUACCCGUACCGCAAACCGACACAGGUGGGUGAGGAGAGUAUCCUAAGGCCAGCGAGAGAACUGUUGUUAAGGAACUCGGCAAAAUGACCCCGUAACUUAGGGAUAAGGGGUGCCACCAUCAGGUGGCCGCAGAGAAUAGGCCCAAGCGACUGUUUACCAAAAACAUAGGUUUCUGCUAAGUCGCAAGACGAUGUAUAGGAGCUGACGCCUGCCCGGUGCUGGAAGGUUAAGGGGAUCUGUUAGAGCAAUCGAAGCAGUGAACUUAAGCCCCAGUAAACGGCGGCCGUAACUAUAACGGUCCUAAGGUAGCGAAAUUCCUUGUCGGGUAAGUUCCGACCCGCACGAAAGGCGUAACGAUUUGGGCACUGUCUCAACAACAGACUCGGUGAAAUUGUAAUUCCGGUGAAGAUGCCGGAUACCUGCGACAGGACGGAAAGACCCCAUGGAGCUUUACUGUAGCUUGACAUUGGGUCUUGGUACUACAUGUACAGGAUAGGUGGGAGGCUUUGAAACCAGGACGCCAGUUUUGGCGGAGCCAUCCUUGGGAUACCACCCUUGUAGUACUGGGACUCUAACCAUAGGCCAUGAAUCUGGUCUUGGGACACUGUCAGGUGGGCAGUUUGACUGGGGCGGUCGCCUCCCAAAAGGUAACGGAGGCGCUCAAAGGUUCUCUCAGUACGGUCGGAAAUCGUACGUAGAGUGUAAAGGCAAAAGAGAGCUUGAUUGCAAGACAUACAGGUCGAGCAAGGAUGAAAAUCGGACUUAGUGAUCCGGUGGUUCUGCGUGGAAGGGCCAUCGCUCAACGGAUAAAAGCUACCCUGGGGAUAACAGGCUUAUCUCCCCCAAGAGUCCACAUCGACGGGGAGGUUUGGCACCUCGAUGUCGGCUCAUCACAUCCUGGGGCUGUAGUAGGUCCCAAGGGUUGGGCUGUUCGCCCAUUAAAGUGGUACGCGAGCUGGGUUCAGAACGUCGUGAGACAGUUCGGUCCCUAUCCGUCGCAGGCGUAGGAAAUUUGAGAAGACCUGUCCUUAGUACGAGAGGACCGGGAUGGACGUACCUCUGGUGUACCAGUUGUCCUGCCAAGGGCAUGGCUGGGUAGCUAUGUACGGAAUGGAUAAGCGCUGAAAGCAUCUAAGCGCGAAGCCAACUUCAAGAUAAGAUUUCCCACCGCAAGGGUAAGACCCCAGAAAGACUAUCUGGUUGAUAGGUCGAAGGUGUAAGUGCAGCAAUGUAUUUAGCUUAUCGAUACUAAUAG
rnacentral:rRNA from 1 species